UACGUAGGGGUCUAGCGUUGUCCGGAAUUAUUGGGCGUAAAGGGCGCGUAGGCGGCCAUGCGUGUCUUCCGUGAAAUCCCUCGGCUUAACCGAGGACGUGCGGAAGAAACUGCAAGGCUCGAGUCCGGAAGAGGGGGGCGGAAUUCCCAGUGUAGCGGUGAAAUGCGUAGAUAUUGGGAGGAACACCAGUGGCGAAGGCGGUCCCCUGGGCCGGAACUGACGCUGAGGCGCGAAAGCGUGGGUAGCAAACGGG
rnacentral:rRNA from 1 species